ensembl:snoRNA
AAGCCAGCCAAUUAAUCUACUUAUCUGAAUGUGUUUCUGCAGAAAUUUAGGAAGAGCUGACAAUAGUGAUGCCGUUUUAUGAGCCCCAAGGACAACAACCAGGCCAUUAUGGUCCCUGAAAAUGACUACAAUA